UUUAUGCUCUCUCUAUGAUGUACACACACGGUGACUCAACCAUUUUGUAAUGUUUCUGCUUGAAUUUGUCAAAGUUUAUUUAUUUGAAUACCUACAUGUUAGAGUUAUUAACUUAACUCCUUAACAUGCAAAUGUCUCAGAUGUGUUUGUAUGUCAAUGCUAAUAUCUUAUUGCAGUGAUUAAUUGUUGUAUAUAUUCAGCGUUUUAAUUUUCUUUUAUUCAAGUUAGAUGUAUUGUAAACUUUCCUUCUUAGGGUUUGUUUGGAUAAACAUCGCUGCAAACACUUAUAGGAGAAGAAAACAGAAGGAAAAAUGAAAUAAUCUUCUUUAGAAGUUAAAAUUAGCUCAUAUGUAAGUUAAUUUGUAGAAUUUUUUCAUAUUAGUUUCUCCAAAAUUUGUCUUUUAGCUUAUGCAUAAACUAAUUUUAGCCUCCUGCGAAACUUACAACUUUUGUCUUUUAGCUUAUCCGAAUAUGCCCUUAGUAUGAUGAGUUUGGGUUUUCUCAUUUCUUUUGGCUAUGUGUUUGUACAGAAAAAUUCCUUUUAUGGCUUGUCAUCGUCCUUUUAUAGUACACUUUUAAAAUUCAGUCUCAUCAUCAACUAUGCUGAAGUCUAGCUCAAUAUAUCGCAUUGGUCAACCAUAGUUGAUAACAAUGCCAAAUAGAGACUCUAUUGUGGAGCGGCUCAGGCAUGCUACGAAAGUUGAAUGGGCAAAGUUGUGCAAAUCCUGGCUGGAGCAAGAACUGUUGGUGUGAGUGACAAGAAAUCAUUUUAGCCAUGAAAUAACGUCAUUAAUGGCUGUAUUGGGAGAUUCAAUUUGGAUUUCCCUCAGUCCCUGGAAUCAAAAUUGGAACUCUACUUUGUCAGUCAGCUGUGUGCACUCUGUUGUGAAGUAGCAUCCACUGUUUUUAUGAGGGAUACCCACCUAUAUUUGGCAACAUUUCCUUGCCAGCUGUGACAGAAAGUCUUUCGUCCCACUAUCUGCUAUAGCAAUUUCAGGUCAGCUGCACUGGCUGUUAUUUGGAAUUUGCAAAUAUGUCGUCAACAACUACAACACAAGCCAUAUACCGCUGGGAAUGGGUCAUAUUGGUCAAACUUUAUAAAAUAUACAAAUAUAAGUUAUGAAUAAAAUGAGCUUUAGGCAAUGACGUUUAUUUAUACCAGAUCAAGUUUUUUUUUUUUUUUUUUUUUUUAUCUGAUUCAAGGCUUGAAUCAGA